rnacentral:misc_RNA from 1 species
UUUCCGUAGGUGAACCUGCGGAAGGAUCAUUAUUGGAUUUUGAAACUUCAGGCUGCUGCUGGCUCUCCUCGGAGGGCAUGUGCACGCUUGUUGUCCAUUAUUUCUCCCGCUGUGCACAAAUUGUAGACCUUUCAGUAGGCCUAUGUUGUUUUUCACAAUCUCUGAAUGUAAUAGAAUGGUUUUGAAUCUUGGGAAAUACAAUACAACUUUCAGCAACGGAUCUCUUGGCUCUC